rnacentral:lncRNA from 1 species
ACAAAGACCUUUGGAAUUCUAGUAAGCUUCAAAACACUGGACCUGGGCAGAUAUCAACCCUCUAAGGGAUGAGUAGGAGAGACCCUGCUUGUCAUUGCUAGACCACCUGGGACUCUUCUUCACUGGCAUGGCCACCUGCAACUGCUUCCAGAACCUGCCCUGAGGAUACUUGGAUUUCUCUCCUUUCCAUUUAAUGACCGUGAGCACCGUCUUAGCCCGCUUCAGCUCUUUCACCUUCAUGUCCUUCACAGCUUUGUACUGCACUAAAAUGACGUUGAUGUUGCCCCGGGAGGCCAUAUUUUCUAGGCCAGCCUUGAGCUCCAGGAGGGCUUGUGUUCCCUGGAGCACGUAGUUGGGACUUAGGACAACCAGGAGUCGUCUGCUUUUCUGAAUGAAGCUCAGGGUCUCAUCUGUGACAACUGGGAAAGAAAACACCAUGGGGAUUAGUGUUGGCCAAGAACUACCUGAUUCAAAGAGGUGAAGGAUGGAAGAUAGGGAACUUGGAACGACAGCCUGGGAAACAAGGCUGAAACAGCUUUAUCAGCAACAGUCCUAGUAACUUUCUCUUUAACCACACUGUUCCUGGAAUGUCACUCUGAUGAGGAAAAAAAAAUGGAGUCAUAUAUAAAUGCCCAACUCUCCAAAUGUUUCCAAAUGACUAAAACUAAAAUAUGGUGGAAUAUGAUGGGCUGCUGUUACCCAGUUCCUCAAAGGCCCUAUUUGAACCAGAUGGAAUAGAUAUAUUGUAGUGACAUCACUUUCUUCAAAUAGUGUUGCAGCUCAGACAAAGAGGCUCCUGAAAGAAAAUACUAUCUUCUAUGAAACGUCUUCACACAAAUAUGAACUUCAGAGUCAAAGCCCCCAAGUUGCAGCUGCAGCUAACCAAGGACAACACCAGGGAAUGCCAAAUUUGAGUCUGUCUCUCUGUCUCUCUCUCUCUGUCUCUCCCUCUCCCCCUCCCUCCCUCUCUCUCUUUCUCUGCUGAUGUGUACUUUCCUGAUGCCAACUGAUGUCACUGUUGCUAGAUUAGUAACUCAAGCAAAUGGCAUCUUGGCAAGCAGUGUAUUCCCCCAUCAGCUCUUUAGUUUUCUCUGUUGUGGAGAUGAAAUAAAACAUGCAUAUUUCUCUUUAA